rnacentral:rRNA from 1 species
UACGGGGGGGGCAAGCGUUGUUCGGAAUUACUGGGCGUAAAGGGCUCGUAGGUGGCCAACUCAGUCAGACGUGAAAUCCCUCGGCUUAACCGGGGAACUGCGUCUGAUACUGGAUGGCUUGAGGUUGGGAGAGGGAUGCGGAAUUCCAGGUGUAGCGGUGAAAUGCGUAGAUAUCUGGAGGAACACCGGUGGCGAAGGCGGCAUCCUGGACCAAUUCUGACACUGAGGAGCGAAAGCCAGGGGAGCAAACGGG